rnacentral:rRNA from 1 species
UACGUAGGGUGCAAGCGUUAAUCGGAAUUACUGGGCGUAAAGCGUGCGCAGGCGGUUUUGUAAGUCUGACGUGAAAUCCCCGGGCUCAACCUGGGAAUUGCGUUGGAGACUGCAAGGCUGGAGUCUGGCAGAGGGGGGUAGAAUUCCACGUAUAGCAGUGAAAUGCGUAGAGAUGUGGAGGAACACCGAUGGCGAAGGCAGCCCCCUGGGUCAAGACUGACGCUCAUGCACGAAAGGCGUGGGGAGCAAACAGG